GACUUUUGUGACCGCUUUGAGAACAUUAUUAACAAGUGCUCAUUCGAUCUCAUGUUACUAACCAUUGACAAGGCCCGACAUACUAUAGAGGACCUUCAGAAACAAAUCACAGCAACGGAAGAACAAUUAUCAAGUAUACUACCCACGGAAGAGUGGACAACAUUAAAAGAAAAAACAUCUAAACAAACUUCCGAAUACCAGAAAUAUACAGAAGGUACCAAAAGGGCGAAAUUUAUCAGGGACGCCGAGGAUUACAGGCUAAACAGGGUAUACAGAUGGCGCGACCUCAAUCCACAAGCAGGCUGGGACAACAGAAAUCACGACUUCUCCUCAGGACAAAGUUCAUCCGGUUCAGAAAGCGGAAGGAUCAACACUCAACGCCGCAGGCAUUUUUUAGGACGAGGACAGAACCGUUACAGACAAGGAAGAGGCGACCGCGGAGAAGUCAGAGGAGGAGAUCCCGACAAUCGAAUCCUGACUCGAUCACAGAUUCGAUAGAAUUGGAAUAUAGAUCUAGACCAUAUGGAUCCCUUGACAAAGGCCAGACAUAUGGCCGAAACGUUGGGACAUGCUAUGCAAGUUUGAUUUGCUUCUAC